GACAGAUAAAGUACAAUAUGUUCUGACACAUUCUGAGUGGGAUGACAACUUUGAUCAGGCGUUAUCAGAUAACACUACAUUAGCAUUUAUACGUCCCAAAUGGAUCUAUACGUGUUAUGAUAAACAGAAAAUAGUGCCAUAUCAACCAUAUGUAGUCGUUCCAAAAUGAUGUAACCAUAUCAACUGUGUUGGAUGGCGAGAGUGAAAGUGGUUCUUUUGUGAUCUUUAUAUGCUUUAUAUGACAUUUUUCUUCACUUUCUCAAUGAACUGAUUUCAUUAUCUGCUAAUGACACUGUGCAUGUUGACUGCUGGAGGGGGGGGGGGGGGGCUGGUCUGCAAGAAAAAAAUAAAAUUGUAAUUUUGACUGUAAUAUUUGACUUGAGGCUCAAACAUAUGUUCUAGCCCCUGAUUCCCUUAUUUUGUUUAUAAAAUGUCAAUUUCAUUUUAUCAAAUUAUAAAUUGCAUAACUACAGUAAGAUGUUUUUCUAGAUCUAUAUAUAAUUCUCUGUUGCGUCAAUGAGUCACCAGGCAAUUAGCAUAAUUAGUUAUGUCACAGCAAAUCUUUGUGCCUCAGUUUGUGCAUAUUAUGGGCUUAGAGGGCACACUGAUGUUCGUUUACAUGUACCACAGAAUUAAAAUGAUAAUCAGUGGAUAUGUUAUUAUCCAAAAAUGUCCUCAAAAAUUGAGAUGAGGAAGAAUCACGUACACAAUAAAAAAGGUUUUGUCAUAUUUGUCAUGUUUUUAAUUUACUUUGUAGGAUUUGAUAGUGAAAACGUUUUGAAAUAUUGAAAAAAGUUUUGUAUGUAUAUUUUUUUAACUGAAUAAUGGUAAAGGAUAAAAAAUCCAAAGGUAAAAUUGAUACAAAUUGUUGUAUAAUAAUUUUAGACUUGUCAUACUUUUCAAUAUUGCUACGUGAUCUAACAAUAAAACAAAAGAUAAGCUGCUCUUCACAGUAUGAGGGCAGUAUACUGAUAA